UCUCUCAUAGUAUAACGGCCGAAUACGCACACCUGAUGUCAGGGUGGUAAUAGACAUUGUGUGUGAGAUCUGGGUUCGAUUCCCGGUGAGAGAG